rnacentral:lncRNA from 1 species
CAUCACCCUGGUUUCAAGCCUCCCUGCCAGCCACAGUCUGGCAGUGUCCCACCUAGGAUUGUUAUUGCCAACUAUUUGUCCUUGUGCUGGCUUUGUCCUUUAGAUUCAAAAUCACAUCCUCCCCUGGGUGGCUUGUGUUUAUGUGGCAGCCUGUCCCAGCAUAGUCCGUGCAGGGUUUCCUUGGGGUCCUUUGUCUUCAGGCAUGUGGGCACAUUUCACUAGCCUGCAUGUUCCUCAAUAAACAACUUUCUCACUGUUUCUCCAAAGGUCUCUCAUGUCUCACCAGAAAGAGCUUUAUCUGUGCACUAAUUCAUUCCUGGCUACUUUGCCUACUGUGAUCACUGGUCCAUCUCUGUGAGUUCAGGCUGUGUCACAGUGGCCACCGAGGUGUACUAGAUAACACACAGCAGUGUAUUAAGGUGUAUUAGAUAACACACAGCAGUGUCCCUGCCCUCCACUGCAUCCCCACUGCCCUGGGAGGUCCUCAGCCUUGCCUCUGCAACACUAGCCUGGCUGCACACAGCAACUAAUGCCCAGGACACUGAGAAAAGUGAAUCCUCUUGCUCCUCCACAGGAGGCUGGAAAACUGCCUGCUUUCUCUGGAGGUGCUGAAUGUAAGCGGGUUCUUUGGAGAGUCAUGGAACUUUUACAGAACACAAGAAUGACAGUAAAGACUCUGGUUUGUUUAUUGUGCUGCCAGCUGCAGAGGGCUAGAAGUGAUGAGACUGACUUGAAAAAUCACAAAUCCUGAAAUAAUAUGUAUUUUUUCACAUGUUCUUCUCUACUUGGAGCCUCCAACUACAGCCAGUGCCACAUGUUCAAUUUUUUUCAGCAAAAGGGUGCAAUUAAAAAAGGAAAAAAAGACGGAUGGGAUAAUUUUCAAGAGGUGAAACACGUAGGAAAACAGUAACUACUGUGGACAUUGAAAACCCAAAGAAGGUGGUAAUGCUGCUUUAAAAGCAGUUUUGGAAUUUAAUUUAAUUUGAUAUUAAACUCUGUUUCACUCCUUGCCUUCUCCCUUUACCUACUUUUUAGUCCAAGCUAACUCUGCUGUUGCUAAGACUUCCAGGAGAGAAAUUCGUGUUUCUAAGGGCCAUUACAGUUGGCACAGCAGGACUUCAGCUGAAAACUAAUCCGAAGUGAAGGUUGGGUCUGGAGGACACCCUGGUGCUUAUUG